GACGAGCGCUGGCGGCGUGCCUAAUACAUGCAAGUUGAGCGCUGAAGGUUGGUACUUGUACCAACUGGAUGAGCAGCGAACGGGUGAGUAACGCGUGGGGAAUCUGCCUUUGAGCGGGGGACAACAUUUGGAAACGAAUGCUAAUACCGCAUAAAAACUUUAAACACAAGUUUUAAGUUUGAAAGAUGCAAUUGCAUCACUCAAAGAUGAUCCCGCGUUGUAUUAGCUAGUUGGUGAGGUAAAGGCUCACCAAGGCGAUGAUACAUAGCCGACCUGAGAGGGUGAUCGGCCACAUUGGGACUGAGACACGGCCCAAACGCCUACGGGAGGCAGCAGUAGGGAAUCUUCGGCAAUGGACGAAAGUCUGACCGAGCAACGCCGCGUGAGUGAAGAAGGUUUUCGGAUCGUAAAACUCCGUUGGUAGAGAAGAACGUUGGUGAGAGUGGAAAGCUCAUCAAGUGACGGUAACUACCCAGAAAGGGACGGCUAACUACGUG
rnacentral:rRNA from 1 species